rnacentral:lncRNA from 1 species
GAUUUUCUUGAUGUAAUUAGUCAAUGUAUGGAGCAUCCUGAGAAUUGUUUGCGUGCAGUUUUGCGCUGUGUUAGGUCAGCCACCACUAAAAGCAGCUGACGUUUCUGAUGUCCCAGGUCUGUAAGCCAGCGCUCCGUAAAUGGCCGAAAGAAGUGUUCCCUGUCUUCUCUGCGCAUUGAUUGGCAUAGCAACCUUUUUUAUUGUGAAAAACGUUGGACACACAGGAUUUUAGUUCUUUCUGGCUUGGAUGUGAAUUCUGGUGGUAUUAUUUAAGACAAGUUGCUCUUGUCUACCCAUGUAGAAUUUAACCUUUUUUUAAAAAAUUUUUUAAAUUUUUUUUGAGGAAGAUUAGCCCUGAGCUAACAUCUGCUGCCAACCCUCCUCUUUUUGCUGAGGAAGACUGGCCCUGAGCUAACAUCCAUGCCCAUCUUCCUCUACUUUAUAUAUGGGAUGCCUACCACAGCAUGGCGUGCCAAGCGGUGCCAUGUCCACACCCGGGAUCCAAACCCUCGAACCCCAGGCUGCCGAAGUGGAACGUGCACACUUAACCGCUGUGCCACUGGGCUGGCCCCAGAAUUUAAUCUUUUAAAGAAAGUAUCAACCAAAUGAUUGAACAUGUGAUGAAGUUUAUCUAAGUCCUUGGUAAUGACAUGGAAUCCUGGGAGCCCCAAAGGCUUGGUGUGUAAGAUGAAUGCCCACCACUGGAAGGACCCACAGCUGGAAUAUACAACUGUAUACUGGGGGGAUUUGGGGAGAAAAAGCAGGGAAAAAAAAAGAAAGAUGAAUGAAACCUGAAUGAGUCCCAUUUUGCAAACGUGUUACACCCACCCACACGUGUGGAUGCAUGUGAGUGUGCGUGCGUGCACGUGCUGAGGGUGGGCUGUCUCCACGUGUGCCCUUCAACUUGACUUUCUCAGCCUGUUACUGCAGAGCAGGAUCCAAUCGGGUCUUUUAGGCCAAAACUGUAUUUUUCAAUCAGCCAAAAUUGAAAAGUAGAAUAAU